UCUGUACUCUAUGUAGUUAAUAAAAAAAUUACUCAGACUUUUUUUGACAAAAGUUUAUGUUAUUGGCUGUUGUAAUUUUAAUUAUUAAUUUAUUACACGAACUAAGUAGUCUGUGAUUUAUUAUAAUAUUUAAUUAUUCAUAUGUGCCUGGUACCUACAACUUACUGUAAUAUAAUAUAGUUUCAAAAGUUAGCAAUGUUCGUUACUACCUUUGACUGCUGGACUUAACAACACUUUUAAACAUUUUCAUGUUGGAAAGUACGACUUAGAUUUUAAAAACAAGUCUGACAGCAAAGACAAAACUCUAAGUAUUUCAACUGAAGCUUUAAUUGAAUUGUACAAAGAAUUCAUUAAAGAAUUUCUGAUAAUCUCUAUUAAAGAUCCUUUUGAUCAAGACCAUUGGAAAGCAUGGACUACACUUACAGCAUCUACUAACAUCCAGGUUUUAUAAUAUAAACAAACAAUUUUAAUUUUAAUAUACAAUCAUCUUACGAAUUUUAAAUAAAUUCACUACAAGUGAACAGGAGACAGAAGAUACAUUCAUUGCAGAUUUAGUUGUUGGGUUGAGUACCGGACAAUCACAAGUGAUAUUUAAAACAAUCGAUCUGAAUAUUUUCAAAAAAAUGACCACAUGCGUAUUCUUACCACAAUGCCCAUCGUAUGCCACCGUGACACCGGACCUCUUGCUACAACUCAUCCGUUCCAAGAAGCAUUU